rnacentral:rRNA from 1 species
GACGUAGGGCGCGAGCGUUGUCCGGAAUCAUUGGGCGUAAAGAGCGUGUAGGCGGUUCGGUAAGUCGGCUGUGAAAGUCCAGGGCUCAACCCUGGGAUGCCGGUCGAUACUGCCGGACUAGAGUUCGGAAGAGGCGAGUGGAAUUCCCGGUGUAGCGGUGAAAUGCGCAGAUAUCGGGAGGAACACCUAUGGCGAAGGCAGCUCGCUGGGACGUUACUGACGCUGAGACGCGAAAGCGUGGGGAGCAAACAGG